rnacentral:snRNA from 1 species
ACUUAAAAAUAAUUGAGUUUGUGCUUGCUUUGGAACAAUACACAGAAGAUUAGCAUGGCCCUUGCACAAGGAUGACAUGCAAAUUCAUGAAACGUUCCAUAUUUUU